UUUUAUUUUUAUUUUUUCUGUCCGUAAACAAGUUUUUGAACAGGAAUUAUGAACUGAUCAUCAAAUCCAGAGGUGGUUUCUGGUUGCAAAAUUUGUUUAGUUAGUGUAUUAAAGAGGCCAUUUUUUUUAUUUUUCUUAUAGUUUACUUAACAAUUGAUAAAGAAACCUGGGAAAACCUCGACAAACGGAAACCUGACAUUUUUACUAAAUACAUAUAAUACAUUCUUAACUCUUUCUAUUCAUAAAAAAAAUAUAUAAACCAAUCUGACGAUUUUCAUGCUAUUUUUUUCUGUUAGUAUGCAUUUGUUAUACGACAUCGCAGUCAGAAGCUAUUUAUAUAAAACGGGGCAGAUAUGGGUAACAAAGUGAAAGAAUACCAUAUAACCUACUAUAUUUUGCAAUUAGUAACGCUCGAAAAUAACCGGAAGUCAAUUUAAAUGUAUAAGUUGUUUUGAUAAAAGAACGACAACUUCUUAUCACUCAUAUUUAAAAUAUUUUGAUUUAUUACAGGUCAAACACAUAAAAAUAAUAAUGACUCAGUGAUAACUGAUGUAAAUAAACUUGUU